CUUCAAUCAAUUCCAAAGUUCCAGUCUCCUUGGCAUUUGGGAAAUAAAGAAGAAAAAAAAGAAAAAGAAAGAUGGGAGGCAGGAGCAAAAUGGAUAAUUGAGAACCACGUGGAAAGGGAUGGACAACACCAUAAUCAAUUUUAGGGAGCAGCAACUGUUGUCCAGUAGCUUCCAUGACUACUGCAUGCUAUGAAGAGGGAGGGAGGGGACUCUGACAAAGCUUGGAGAACUUCCAAAGUAGAUCUGGCAACCUGGAUUCCUAAAGAGCAGAGAUCCAAAGUUGCUGAGAUUGCGGCUGUUAUGAACUGUGUUCAGCUGACUUAAGGAAGGCAGAACCAGAAUGGAAGUUCCACAACUGGGAGGCCCCAAAGAGACUAGUGACACCUCCAUAAGACUUAGAAAAGUGUAACGUGGUAUACACAUGUAAGGGAUUAGCUAAAGACUGUAGUAAGUAAGUUUUGAUAAGGAAGAAGGAGAAAGUAAGUGGGAGCCAAGUGCCAGAAGGAAGAAGACAUCUCUGAGUGCUUCAUAAAUUUGCCUGAAAUAAGGUAGGUUUUAAAAACAGUUGUUAACUAAGUUUGUCUUAGCAUGACGGCUUUAAAAAUACCUACUUAAGAUUGCUCCUUUCGUUUGAUGUAAGUCAAAUAAAUGUGAAUUUAAGUGCUUACUGUGUGCCA
rnacentral:lncRNA from 1 species